rnacentral:rRNA from 1 species
GGGUUGUGAGGUUAAGCGACUAAGCGUACACGGUGGAUGCCCUGGCAGUCAGAGGCGAUGAAGGACGUGCUAAUCUGCGAUAAGCGUCGGUAAGGUGAUAUGAACCGUUAUAACCGGCGAUUUCCGAAUGGGGAAACCCAGUGUGUUUCGACACACUAUCAUUAACUGAAUCCAUAGGUUAAUGAGGCGAACCGGGGGAACUGAAACAUCUAAGUACCCCGAGGAAAAGAAAUCAACCGAGAUUCCCCCAGUAGCGGCGAGCGAACGGGGAGCAGCCCAGAGCCUGAAUCAGUAUGUGUGUUAGUGGAAGCGUCUGGAAAGGCGCGCGAUACAGGGUGACAGCCCCGUACACAAAAAUGCACAUGCUGUGAGCUCGAUGAGUAGGGCGGGACACGUGGUAUCCUGUCUGAAUAUGGGGGGACCAUCCUCCAAGGCUAAAUACUCCUGACUGACCGAUAGUGAACCAGUACCGUGAGGGAAAGGCGAAAAGAACCCCGGCGAGGGGAGUGAAAAAGAACCUGAAACCGUGUACGUACAAGCAGUGGGAGCACGCUUAGGCGUGUGACUGCGUACCUUUUGUAUAAUGGGUCAGCGACUUAUAUUCUGUAGCAAGGUUAACCGAAUAGGGGAGCCGAAGGGAAACCGAGUCUUAACUGGGCGUUAAGUUGCAGGGUAUAGACCCGAAACCCGGUGAUCUAGCCAUGGGCAGGUUGAAGGUUGGGUAACACUAACUGGAGGACCGAACCGACUAAUGUUGAAAAAUUAGCGGAUGACUUGUGGCUGGGGGUGAAAGGCCAAUCAAACCGGGAGAUAGCUGGUUCUCCCCGAAAGCUAUUUAGGUAGCGCCUCGUGAAUUCAUCUCCGGGGGUAGAGCACUGUUUCGGCAAGGGGGUCAUCCCGACUUACCAACCCGAUGCAAACUGCGAAUACCGGAGAAUGUUAUCACGGGAGACACACGGCGGGUGCUAACGUCCGUCGUGAAGAGGGAAACAACCCAGACCGCCAGCUAAGGUCCCAAAGUCAUGGUUAAGUGGGAAACGAUGUGGGAAGGCCCAGACAGCCAGGAUGUUGGCUUAGAAGCAGCCAUCAUUUAAAGAAAGCGUAAUAGCUCACUGGUCGAGUCGGCCUGCGCGGAAGAUGUAACGGGGCUAAACCAUGCACCGAAGCUGCGGCAGCGACGCUUAUGCGUUGUUGGGUAGGGGAGCGUUCUGUAAGCCUGUGAAGGUGUACUGUGAGGUAUGCUGGAGGUAUCAGAAGUGCGAAUGCUGACAUAAGUAACGAUAAAGCGGGUGAAAAGCCCGCUCGCCGGAAGACCAAGGGUUCCUGUCCAACGUUAAUCGGGGCAGGGUGAGUCGACCCCUAAGGCGAGGCCGAAAGGCGUAGUCGAUGGGAAACAGGUUAAUAUUCCUGUACUUGGUGUUACUGCGAAGGGGGACGGAGAAGGCUAUGUUGGCCGGGCGACGGUUGUCCCGGUUUAAGCGUGUAGGCUGGUUUUCCAGGCAAAUCCGGAAAAUCAAGGCUGAGGCGUGAUGACGAGGCACUACGGUGCUGAAGCAACAAAUGCCCUGCUUCCAGGAAAAGCCUCUAAGCAUCAGGUAACAUCAAAUCGUACCCCAAACCGACACAGGUGGUCAGGUAGAGAAUACCAAGGCGCUUGAGAGAACUCGGGUGAAGGAACUAGGCAAAAUGGUGCCGUAACUUCGGGAGAAGGCACGCUGAUAUGUAGGUGAAGCGACUUGCUCGUGGAGCUGAAAUCAGUCGAAGAUACCAGCUGGCUGCAACUGUUUAUUAAAAACACAGCACUGUGCAAACACGAAAGUGGACGUAUACGGUGUGACGCCUGCCCGGUGCCGGAAGGUUAAUUGAUGGGGUCAGCGCAAGCGAAGCUCUUGAUCGAAGCCCCGGUAAACGGCGGCCGUAACUAUAACGGUCCUAAGGUAGCGAAAUUCCUUGUCGGGUAAGUUCCGACCUGCACGAAUGGCGUAAUGAUGGCCAGGCUGUCUCCACCCGAGACUCAGUGAAAUUGAACUCGCUGUGAAGAUGCAGUGUACCCGCGGCAAGACGGAAAGACCCCGUGAACCUUUACUAUAGCUUGACACUGAACAUUGAGCCUUGAUGUGUAGGAUAGGUGGGAGGCUUUGAAGUGUGGACGCCAGUCUGCAUGGAGCCGACCUUGAAAUACCACCCUUUAAUGUUUGAUGUUCUAACGUGGACCCGUAAUCCGGGUUGCGGACAGUGUCUGGUGGGUAGUUUGACUGGGGCGGUCUCCUCCUAAAGAGUAACGGAGGAGCACGAAGGUUGGCUAAUCCUGGUCGGACAUCAGGAGGUUAGUGCAAUGGCAUAAGCCAGCUUGACUGCGAGCGUGACGGCGCGAGCAGGUGCGAAAGCAGGUCAUAGUGAUCCGGUGGUUCUGAAUGGAAGGGCCAUCGCUCAACGGAUAAAAGGUACUCCGGGGAUAACAGGCUGAUACCGCCCAAGAGUUCAUAUCGACGGCGGUGUUUGGCACCUCGAUGUCGGCUCAUCACAUCCUGGGGCUGAAGUAGGUCCCAAGGGUAUGGCUGUUCGCCAUUUAAAGUGGUACGCGAGCUGGGUUUAGAACGUCGUGAGACAGUUCGGUCCCUAUCUGCCGUGGGCGCUGGAGAACUGAGGGGGGCUGCUCCUAGUACGAGAGGACCGGAGUGGACGCAUCACUGGUGUUCGGGUUGUCAUGCCAAUGGCACUGCCCGGUAGCUAAAUGCGGAAGAGAUAAGUGCUGAAAGCAUCUAAGCACGAAACUUGCCCCGAGAUGAGUUCUCCCUGACUCCUUGAGAGUCCUGAAGGAACGUUGAAGACGACGACGUUGAUAGGCCGGGUGUGUAAGCGCAGCGAUGCGUUGAGCUAACCGGUACUAAUGAACCGUGAGGCUUAACCUUACAACGCCGAAGCUGUU